AGAAAUCAAAAGCAGUUUAAUGGGAAAGGAGUAGAAGAAAUCAGAAGCUGUGAUAUAGAUGGUAAAAAAGAGCAUGCAUGACAUUUUACGAGAUUAGAGAACAAUAUCUGUGCCCCAAAUUAAAAGAGUUGUGCGGACAGAUUAAAACAGAGAAUGAGUCACUUAUGGCUGUGCUGCUGUUACUAUAGACCACACACACACCUACUUUGGAAGUGCGCGUUCAUGUGUCUACGUGGUUCAGGCAAACGCCUGUUGUGAAUGGCUUCGCAUCAUUCCGGAGUCGUUUAUGAAUGAAGUGUUAUUCGUAUAAGGGAGAAACAAGGACAGGUUUGGCGGCGAAGGACUGCUGGUGAACCCGCGCGCACCGGAGCGCAUAGUUGGCUGACGUCUCGGAUUCUUUGUCAGUUACUUUUCAGCCGUCAACUUGUCUCUGUGCAUCGGUCCUUUCGCGAAGCGCUCUCAGGAAACUGCUGAAUCGGCUGAAAUGGAGAUGCCUAAACUAAUGCUGAUUUUAUACCUAACCUGCUCGUUAGGACCUACGCUGUCUGUCCAGAUGUGUGAGGUCAUGUGGGAGCUGGAAGCAGAGAAAAGAGAAUGUUUGUCCAAGCUGGAAAACAUCACAUCAGGUAUGUACAGUGCAUAUAAGUCACUAUAUGACAACUGUAUGCAUAUAAACACACAGUGAUUUCUGUACAUUGGUGAUAUACACUGUAGAAAUAUCCUGUUAAAUACAUGGUAAAAAAGCAACAGCUGUGGAUGCCAGAUAUUCACUAUGAAAAUAUAGUGGCAUUGUUUAAGGUAAUUCAGCAUGACAUAUUGGUGUCUUGUGUAUUUUACAACCAUGUUUCAUCUCAGGUGAUAUGAUGUUAAUAUACCAAAAUCAGCUUUUUACUAAAAACAUUGGAUACGCAAAGAUUAUGAAUAGGAGAAAGUGCAAUGUGCAAUAUGGCAGAAAGUCUCAUCAUCUAAAUAAAAGAGCCAGUCGCUAAUUGGUAAAUGUUCAUAUCACUGCGGCUGCCAUAGUUUGCAUGGUGCCUGCCUAAACAUGCUACUGAAGGAGCUGUAUUUGCAUAACUGUAAUAGCUGCCCGAGAGGAAUUUCAAAGAUGGCCACUGACUGAAACGUCUUGCCUAAAGGGGCUUUGUUUUUCCUUAACAUGCACUGAUAACCACAAUAAUAAUACAGGUGGUAUAAUAGAUAGUCACAUGAUGAAUUAGAGUUCAUUGUAAGUCAGCUAUCCAUAAAACAUGGCCAGUACUUGUAUGUAGACUGUGCACAGAGUCAUACAUACGAAAAAAAAUCAUAAUGCACAUAAAAUGAAAAUAGGCUAACUUAACAAAUUUUAACUAAAUAGCAGAAAUACAACCCAAAAUCCACAUCACUAACAGAAAUAUAAAAGAAAAAAAAAUAUUUAUAUAGCUUAUUUUUAACAGACUUUUUACAGUUUUUCACCAUAAAUAUAUAUGUCUACUUCGUUAUAAUCUUAAAUAAUUUGACAGUUUUUGUUUAAUGUUUAAAUGUGGUCUCUUCAUCAGAUAGAAAUAGCAGCAUAACUCCAUACAGGAGUACUGUAACCAUAGAGCAGCGUAAAAAUGUGGAUUAUGAGGUUGGGCUAAUACUGCAAGAGCGACAUUUUGAGUGCUUUAAGAUCUGAUUAAAUGUGCAAAUAUAUAUAGCUGCUUAUCUGCAUAUCUGCAAUAUUUUCCCCUCAUUUCUUGCCACAGGCUGCAGUCAGCUCAAGCCUCUUUUCUCGUUACUGUAUACUGUGAAUUGGGCAGAUAAUUGUUGUUUUGCGUUUGUUUAUCUGAUUAGGUUUCGGAAGAGGUUACACUGGCAUGAUGGAUAAUUAGGCAGAAAUGUCAUUCUGUGAAGUGUGAUCUUAUCGUUAUCUGUAUUAUUAAAUCAGUAGUGUUUCAAUGCACUGCCUCAGUUAAUUUUGCUUGUGGCACAUAGAUUCAGGUUUUUUUAUGAUUAUUUUCCAUCAUUGGUUAGGUAGUGCAUCAGAUGUUCUGAGAGCACAUCCAUGUGCUAGCCUACCCACAGAAUUCAGUUCAGUUCAGAUUCACACACUGUUACAAUGCUUAAGUCUUGUAGAGCCAUUUCCAACUAAUUAUGCUUAUUUAAAAAAUAACUGAAAUUAUAUAAGUAUUUCAAGUUAUUCACUUCCAUAUUAUGAUUUUAUCUUGACUUCUCAUUACUGGCAAGGCAGACAAUAACCACAAAUGAAUUAUGAUAACACAUAUUUAAUUGCAAAUUCUAAUAACACAUCCCAUAUUGGAGCACCUUAAUUACUGGAAUCAUUCAUAGGGAUUUGUGUGAUUUGUGUGUGUGAAAAAAGCUAGAAUGAGUAAAUUAUAAGUGGACUUUAAGAGCUUCACUGCCUGCGUAUUAGGCAUGUACUGUACAUCGUUAAACCAAAACACUGCCUAUUCCAGCCUAAUCUAAUAUUGAUUUUGUUCUGACAAAACAAUUACAAAAGCUGGUUAUCUGUGAGUUUAAGGUCUGAUUAUCUAUGGGCUAGUGUUUCAAGGUUGUGUGUUGUCAUUUGUGUUUCCUGUUAUUUAAACCUCAAUCACAAAUCUCCCCUGAGUAAUAUAUCGUAGACCAAUAUGCAGAUUGGUUUCUCAGACCGUGAGAUGAACUUUGAUAAAGCUCUCUCCCAUGGCAUUGUGUAUGAUUGGUUUUUCUUUGUCAUGUAGCCCAGUGUGCUAUAAAAUCUUUUGUAUCAGUUGGAUUUUAAAAUUUUAAAACAAGACUUGGAAUUAAGUUAGUUCACAAAAUCAUAUGGUGUAAACCACUUUAAAAUAGGUAUGAAAGGAAAAUUCUAUUAUCUAAAUGCAUGUUACUGUUCUCAUUGUGAAUGAUACAUUCAUACAAAUGUUUCUUUUAUUAAAGUUUGUUUUGAAUCAUACAGUGACAUACAGUGGGGGAAAUAUUUAUUUGAUCCCCUGCUGAUUUUGUAAGUUUGCCCACUUACAAAGAAAUGAAGGGUCUGUAAUCUUUAUGGUAGGUUUAUUUUAAUGGAUAGAGACAGAAUAUCAACCAAAAAAUCCAGAAAAAAAACACAUAAUAUAGAGGUUAGAAAUUGAUUUUCAUUUCAGUGAGUGAAAUAAGUAUUUGAUUCCCACAGAAGAAUUCUGGCUCUCACAGAUUGGUUAUAUGCCCAUGUGGAACACAGAUUAGUCCUGACACUUUAAGAAGUUACUCCUAAUGUCAGCUCGUUAGGUGUAUAAGACACCUGUCCAUACAAUCUGUAUCUUCCA
ensembl:lncRNA